rnacentral:rRNA from 1 species
GUAGGGAAUAUUGGGCAAUGGAUGCAAGUCUGACCCAGCCAUCCCGCGUGCCGGAAGAAGGCCCUCAGGGUUGUAAACGGCUUUUGACGGUGAAGAAUCGACAGGAUGCGUCCUGUUUUGACGGUAGCCGUUGAAUAAGCACCGGCUAACUCCGUGCCAGCAGCCGCGGUAAUACGGAGGGUGCGAGCGUUGUCCGGAUUUAUUGGGUUUAAAGGGUGCGUAGGCUGGAAGGUCAGUCAGCGGUGAAAAGCUGUCGCUUAACGAUAGUCUUGCCGCAGAUACUUCCUUUCUUGGAUGAGGAGGAGGCCACUGGAACGGAUGGUGUAGCGGUGAAAUGCAUAGAUAUCAUCCAGAACACCGAUUGCGAAGGCAGGUGGCUGUACCUUAAUCGACGCUGAUGCACGAAAGCGUGGGGAGCAAACAGGAUUAGAAACCCCUGUAGUCC